CCCUCAAGUGAGGAAUACCGGCGAGAAAUCGCCGACAAGACCGCAUAGGUCUGGGGCUCUUUCGGGAGUGCCAGGCAAAGCUGUUCUUUGCAAGGAGAAGAGCGCUUGAGGAGGGGCCCGCGGCCGAUUAGCUAGUUGGUGAGGUAAAGGCUCACCAAGGCUGCGAUCGGUAGCUGGUCUGAGAGGACGAGCAGCCACACUGGGAUUGAGAACGGCCCAG
rnacentral:rRNA from 1 species